UUCCUUUAAAAUUGGGGGUCUAGAAAUACCUUAGAAGCACUUGAAAUCAUCCUGCAUAAGAUGGGAGAAGGAAGAAGCAGAGAGGAAGAGGCAGUAUUUAUCAGAACCUAUGAAUUCUAGUUGCUUUCAUAAAACUCUUUGCAGCAUAAUUUGAGUUACCUUAGCAUCUCAGUGAUAAGAGUAUUAUCUUGUAACUGAGAAAACUGACUGGAGUGGGAAGUAAGUCAGGGGAGUUCAUGUGGUUCCUGGGUGUCUGAUUAGGGCUCCACACCCCUCUGUCUGUGCCCAGGGCCCCCAUGCUUCCCACUCACACCAGCUGCCCCACCUCCUGUGUGCUGUGGAUGGGGUUCUGGGACUGGCUUUAGAGACAGGCUCAGAGAUAUAGGCAGCCCUUCCCAUUCAGUCCAUGCCUUGCAAUUCCUGUUAUCCCCACAGGGAGUCUUUGGGGCUGAAUUCUGCUUAAUGGACCAAGAGGAACCAAAGAGAUUCAAGAUGGUGAUCAGGGCCUUAGUGAGUUGGGGGAUAGUGCAAGGGGCCAGAGAGGCACGAGUUUUCAGAAAAAAUUUCAAGACUGUUGCACUGUGGGCCAUAAGACUUUGAUUCUGGGUGGUCUGUUGACAGGGAAUCCAGCUUGCUGAACCACAUCCUUGUCAUCCAUAACAGGCCACAGUGAGAUGCUAAGGGUGAUUCAAGAUCCCUAGCAGAGAAAGCCCAUUGGGAGAUAGAGCCUAGGUGAUGGCCUGAUGGAUGAGGCUGCAUUUCUGUCCCUUGUCCUGGGCCUGAGAAGAGGGAGGAGGGGUGUGAUAACAGCACUGGUGACAGAUAACAGUGGAGGGUUCCAGGAAGCCCACCUCCAAGCUCUCAGCCCUUGUCUGCUCUCCCUCCACUUGCAGCGAUAGACCCUGAGCUGCCCUGUGUGGCCUGCAUUUACAAUUUUUCUUUCUUCUGGACCUUGGUUUCUCUAUUGAUGCCUCUCUACUGACCUUCUUUUCCUUCCUAAUACCCAAUUCAACUUUGUCCUUCAAGAAUUCCAUUCUGAAAUUUGAUCUUUUAGUGCAAACUCAUGUUUAUCUGACUUGUCUUUCCAGUCAGCUCAGAUCAUCAUCAUCAUCAUCAUCUGGUCAUCUCCACUGGAUGAGGAUAACACAUCAUCAUCAUCAUCAUUCUAUUAGUACUGAUAAUAACAAUAAUAGCAACACAAGAGCAGUAAUUUUAGUAAUUUUUAUUUCUGGCCCUCACUGAGCAGAUUAGCCCCUCCUUUUGGUGCAUUCAUGAUUUAUCUCAUUUAAUCCUUACCAUAGCCUGAGAGAGAAGGUCCAGCAAUUCAUUAUUCCCAUGUUAAAUCCUUAACUCAAAGGCAAGCUUGUUGUUGAGAGGGGGAGCCAAGAUUUGAACUCAGGAGAGUGAUCUAGAUGUCCCUUUAGCAUCUGGGCAUUCCUCAAAAGACAUACCAGGAAUGUCUGAACUGCCAAGGAUGUGUCAGUGACCUGCUUUAGAUGAUGUGGCAGAGCUGAAGGCUGCUGGGAACUUAUGUUUGCAAAGUUGACUCUGAUAUGUCUCACUAGAGAUGGUGUGGAACACAAGAAACCAAACCAGCCUGGCCUCGGUGUCCUGGGAAAAUAACCACUGCACAAUGGCUGCUAAUGGGCAUUACAGGUCUCAGAUCUAUGCUGGAUGGAUGCAAAGUAGGGUCUGUGGGCAAAGGGUGAUGUCACUGGAUGAUAUAUUUUGAAAAAGAGACAAAUAUGUGGUGAUAUAAUUCUAUUCUACACAUGAUCUUAGCCAAAAGGCCAAGAAGCGAUUUGUAAUUCUAUCCUAAUGUGUAAUUCCUGUAAGAGAAUUGUUAUGGCUUGUUAAGUUGUGGUUGAUCCAGAAGCACUUGAAUUAGGAUCUUGCCCACAAAGAGCAGUGGCUGUCGUUCAAGAUGGUUCAUGGUAAAUUGAAUUGUAGUUCAGUUGCAGGCAGCCAUGUUGUGCCACUGUAGACUUGGUCUUCAGUUGUUUUUUUGAAUUACGAAACAUUGGGUACAGAUGAAAGAUCGCAUGUGAUAUACAUGGAGUUCCUAUGGCUUAAAUGUAAAGUGCAGCCUCCCUCUUCUUCCUGAUCCAUCCAGGGCUCCCCUCCCUCUUCUGGAAACUCUACCAUCUUACUCUUCUUUGUUUCUUCUCUUGCUUUCUUUUAUUUUCACCAUAAACAUUAUGAAUCUAUUCCAAACAAUGUAUUUUUAGAGUUUUUCACUUUUGAACUUUAUAACAAUAUCAUAUACUAUGUAUCUUAUUCGAUGAUUUGGUAUAUAUUAUUACAUGGAAUGAACAUACACAAGUUUUUCAAAUCUAAUUUUUUUCUCUUUUGAGAGGUUGGAUUCAGGGGGAUAUAUUUGAAGGAUCCACAAAGAAGACCAGGAAGAUUUGAAAAGUAGGCAGGGACCAAACAUUUUGGCCUUCUAGAGCAGCAUAAGGAGUACAGAUUGUGUUCUAAAUCCAGCAAGACUCCAUUGAGGAUUUCUAUACAGGGACCUGAGAUGAUGGGAUUUAUAAUGAAUCCCCUCAUAUGUGCCUUGUAGGAUGUCCUGCUUAUCUGAGGACAAGGAAACCUGUUAGCUCUAUUGUAGUUUGAUAAGUGAGAAUGUUAGUGGGUCAACCAAGCUGCAGUUUAAUUUACUGUGCAUGGACUCUGGUAACAGCAAGUAGCUGUUCUUUGCUGUGAAAAUCCUGACUCUGGUCUUUCUGAAUCAGUCACCACAUAGCAAGUGGGCUGUUGUGUGAAUUCCAGAUUUGAAGAAGCUAUAAGUCACCAUGAAUCCUCAUCUUUUUCAGGAGGAUAGCGUCCCUGUUGUGUAUCCCUUUGCAUACAGAGCGUUUCUCUGCUCUGUUUGCUCAUGGCCACCCAGGCCAGCGCUAGUUAAAAGUUUGCUGGAAGAAGAGAAUAGGGUCUGGGAAAGGUAGAUUAGAGGCAAAGCACUAGAAGCAAGAUGGAAGAAUUUAGGCAAAGGCACAUUUAUACUCAGCAUAGAAAGAAGGUGGCAACCAGCAGAGUCCCAUGAAGUCUGCUGGGUUGAGAACUACACACAGUCCCUUGGGUUAACCCAUUGGGGGGCCUUUGGUGACAUUUUGAUAGAAGUUUUAGGGAAGAUGUGGGGGUGGAAACCACUGAGAACCUAAUGCAGGGAAGUAUAUUUAAAUUUUCUUAUAGUAUAUUCAUGUUAGGAGAAAGACAGCCUUUCUAGAUAGUGCAGGUCAGGAAUGUAACUAGGAACUGGGUGUGGGGAUGCUGUUAAGGUAACCUUAGAAGGAAAGUAAAUUGUUACCAUUGAGAUUUGGGCUGAUGGAGAAACAAGCGGGUGGACUAGGUGACCUUUCAGUGCCUUUCUGAACUCAGAUCUGGUAUCAUGUCUCAUCCUAUGUUCCCUUUGCUAAAAUACUGAUGACAUUGAACAGGAGUGGAAGAGAAAGAGAAAGCUUUUCUUUGUAAAAGAAUGAAACUGAGGAGAUCCUGCUGUGGCACAGUCAGUUAAGGAAAUGGUGUUGCCACAGCUGUGGCAUAGGUCACAGCUGUGGCUCAGAUUCAAUCAUAUGCCAUGAGUGUGAUGGAAAAAGUAAAAAAAUAAAUGUAACUGAGCCAGUGUUUUAACAUCAGUGAAUUGUUCCCAAAACUCUACUUCCUUCCAAUAUUUACAAGCAAUUUAAGAAAACCAAUUUAGGAGAGAACACAAUGAAACUAACGGGCCAACAAAAUCUGCUCUUGAAGGACCUGGCCUGCAAUCAGGGGACACAUGUGGCCACACUGGCUUGGUGAGUCUCCCAACUUUGGGGAGCCCACAGGGGUGGGGGUGUGUGGCUGGGCUCUCAUACAACAGGGUUCCCUCAUCCUGUUCCAGGGGCAUCCUGCAGGCUGAGGGGGCAAGUGUGAGUCAUGGCCACAUCAGCAGGGCAAAUGAGCUUCUUUCAGAAGCCUGGCAGUAGGGUCUCUGGAGGCAGUGUGAGCAUUACAGAAGCACCCCAGAAACCCAGGAGCAGUGUGGGUAGCUAAGACUGCCACCCCCAGGUGGAGGAGGUGUUGUUGAGGAGGGAAGGACUCUCCACUCCUUGAAGCACCUGGUGUCGGCUUUUGGAAAAAGAGACUAUGAGCUGAGGUGUGCAGCAGCACAGGGGAAAGGUUCCAGAUCUUCUGUGCUAAGAAAAUUUACACCCUGAUGGCAGGAAGGUGGUAUUUUGCAUCCAAGGAUGUCAUGGCUGGAGAAAUGUGAGUUGGCUGGAGCAGGCCAGGUUGUCAACCCAAUCAGGAACUUGGCUCAGGUGAAUGUGCCUUUGCUUCUGAUGGCUUUGAGGCCCAGUGUUGCCAUCAGGGCAAUGAACACUUGGAAAUUCUUGGCAAGCAGGUGACAUUGUGGGGUGUACAGUUGACAUGACAAAAUACACCAUGAUGCUCAGAUGGAAGGGUGAAAUCCUUCUUGAUGAUUCGGUUCAAAAUGGCUUUCAAGGAUUUCGAUGUUGGUGAUGGUACGUGUGCUGCAUCUUGUGUUGUUUUCAGGUUUUCAACACAGUGAAACAGUGUGUUCUGAUGGUUCUUGACCCACCAUCUCUGUUUGAGGGUGAGUGUGCAGAGGGUUGUAGCUAUAAAUCACAAGGGCACCAUACAGCUUAUUUGAAAUUACUUUAGCAGAAACACUAUCUGUACAACAUUGCUAGGAUUUUGAGAAAGAAAAAAAUGUUUUUUAUGAGUGGGAAUAAGAAAAUAAAUGGCAAACAAAGACAGUUGUACACAAAUAUUGAAUCUUCCUUUUGAACUUCCCUGUUUAAUCAGCUGCUUAUAGCUUCUUUCUGUUCAUUUGUUUCAAAAAAUAUAAUGAGAGCCUGCAAAUUAUCAGGUCCUCUGCUGGUUGCUGAGAUGACUAAAAUGACUACGUAAAACACUGUCCUGUCUUUAUACAGAUUACAAAAUACCAGGGGAAGCCCACACUUGUAUAAUUUCUGUUCUGUGGGUAAGUUCUAAAAUAAAGAAAUGCAGGAUGUCUUAUGGAAGCACAAUGUAGGGAGAAAAUAUGUCUGCCUGCCUCUUAGAUGACCUUGGGCAGGGUUGGAAAAGGAAGACAAAAUCCCUUUUGAAGCAAAUGAGAAGGCAGGUAUUCUUUAGAGCUGAAUUUCUAGUAGGAUAGCCCCUGGCCACAUGGAGUUAUUUGAAUUUACAUUCAUUUAAAUGAAACAAAGUUAAAAAUUGAAUUUCUUAGUGGCACUUACCACAUUCCAAGUGCUCAGUACUAACCUACAGCUAUUGGAGCCCUAUUGGACAGCAGAUAUAUAUAUUGCAGAAAGUUCUAUUGGAUAGUGUUAACCUGGAACACAUUAAAUAAGACCAUAUUUAACAAAAUAUUGUAUGAAUAUCUAAAAAUGAGCUAACACUUUUUUUUUCAAAAUGACAUUGAUUAUAUCCUAUUCCUUGAAUAUAUGUUUGUAUCAUGUUGGAUUUUAUGAUGUACCUCAAUGAGUACUUUUUUUUUUUUUUUUUU